rnacentral:lncRNA from 1 species
AUGAAGACACCUCCAUCACUAAUCCAUCGUAGCAGUGGUUCCAACAAUCACUUUCACAGUGUCCUUUAUCUUUGCUCACAUCCAGCCUCAUGCAGUGUCUCUGACAGGCUGCUCAGGUCGACCCGGCGCUGCGGACUCGCUUCACUCCAGGGGAUUGUUGGCGUGAGAAGUGAACUCUUCCCUCUUUACUCACCUGACACGAUAUGAACUGAGCCACUGAGUGAGGGACAGCAAGGUCUACAACACAAAGACAGUACAGUACAAGUGUCUGUCUCUGCUGCGGUGAGAACAGGCAGACGUGGUGCUUUUUUCGUCUGUUCUGUCGCGUUUGUUCAAAAUAAUUCACUGUGAUGUGCUCACAAAUGCGUAAGAACCUUAUUUCUUGUGGCAACAAGUCGUGAGCAUUUUCUUUUGCAGGAAGUAGAUUUUUUUUACAGCAACACAGUCUUAAAGAACGGAAUCACAGUCUGACAAGCGGUGACAUCAGUUAGAAAGCCAUUCACAUCCAAUUGUUUGUGUCUGUUGUUGCUGUUUCUAAGACAAAUCGACAGGAAGCUGCAAACAUCUGACUUUGUAGCAACGAGUCAUCAAUGAAACCAAUCCAAAGUCACAUCCCCUUCAUCAGAUAAAAUAAGCAUCACAUAAAAUAAGCACUAAUUAAUAGUUUGUUAAUUAGUGUUUAAAGCAAAUGUGCUGGUGUUGCUAUGAUUUACUGUGUGUGCUCCUGGCAGGUGCUGGGCAUCGAUCUGUGUGAUGACACUGUGGCGCUGAGUGGAUGCCAUCAUUAAUGAGGAAACGGGAUGCUUUUUUUAUUCCACUCACCCUAAUGUGAGGAUGAUGUGAGUUUAUAGGAGACAGUAUUCCUCAUUGUGGUGGACUAGCUUUUCAUGAACAAGCUGGUGGACACUUUCCCACCACAGCAUAGUGUAUUGAUCCACGUCAAUGAAUUAAUUGUGGUUUCAUUUGCAAUGUGAUAUACUGGCAAAAGAAAUAAUCAUUAAUGAUUUGACAAGUCAGUUUAGAAGAAAAAAAUCACACUGUCAUAAUCACUUCACCAGAAGAUAAACAAAUAUUAUUCUGACUUUAUGGGCAACAGUUUGGUAGCUAAUACAGUACUGUAGAUCAUAUAACUGGUGGCUUUAAUUCCCAGAGUGAAAAGUUUAAUAUUUUUAUUUGAAAGCAGUAACGCAAGAGUAGAAAGUACUAU